UUCUAAUGGCGCUACAAGUGUGUUAUGCUGUUUAUUAGAUUGACCGACAAAUUAAUGUGAAUUGAUGUUUAUGUUGUUGUCGGAAUAUCAACAAAUGGAUGAUGCACAAUAAUAUAGUCAAUACAGUCCUUUCAGCACUUCGUUUGCUUUUGUAUUAUUCACGUUGAAACAUGUACUUUAUUAGGAUAAUAAGG